UCCCAGCUGUAAACUAUGCAAACUCAGUGAUGCAUUGACUUGUGGUCAAUGCAGUGCUGCAGGGAAGCCGUUAAGUUUGCCGCCUGGGAAGUACGUACGCAAGUAUGAAACUUAAAGGAAUUGGCGGGGGAGCACCACAAGGGGUGAAGCCUGCGGUUCAAUUGGAGUCAACGCCAGAAAUCUUACCCGGAGAGACAGCAGAAUGAAGGUCAAGCUGAAGACUUUACCAGACA
rnacentral:rRNA from 1 species